rnacentral:rRNA from 1 species
UCAGACGAUGCGUCAUGCAUAUCAAUAAGCGGAGGAAAAGAAACUAACAAGGAUUCCCUCAGUAACGGCGAGUGAAGCGGGAAGAGCUCAAAUUUGAAAUCUUCAAGGGUUCUACCUUUACGAAUUGUAGUUUAAAGAAGUGUUUUCUGUUAGAGUUUCGGUAAAAGUUCUUUGGAAUAGGACAUCAUAGAGGGUGAGAAUCCCGUAUUUGACCAGUUAUUUCCUAGCUUUGUGAUACACUUUCAAAGAGUCGGAUUGUUUGGGAAUGCAGUCCAAAAUGGGUGGUAAAUUUCAUCUAAAGCUAAAUAUUGGCGAGAGACCGAUAGCGAACAAGUACCGUGAGGGAAAGAUGAAAAGAACUUUGAAAAGAGAGUUAAACAGUACGUGAAAUUGUCAAAAGGGAAGCGUUUGACACCAGUGUUGUUUUCUCGAAAAUCAAUUAAAAAAGGCAGGAUUUUGUGUUGUAUUGACUUUAUCAGCUUUCUGCACUCUUUUCUUGUCUUUUUUUAAUGCACUUUUCGUUUAACAAGUCAACAUCAAUUUCUUUUGUUGUAAAAGGGUCAUUGGAAGGUGGCUUUCUUUUCGGAGAAAGUGUUUAUAGCCUUUGGCCUCUGCAAUCGGAGAGAUUGAGGUCUGCAGCGUAGAUCCUUCGGGGUUAGAUACAUUUGUGCUAAGUUAUAGUCCUUUCAUAGACAACUUGUUGACUAUAAUUCAUCUAUGUAGCUUACUCGCUUAUGCUAUUUUACCUACGCUUAGGAUGUUGAUCUACAGAGCGAGAGU